rnacentral:lncRNA from 1 species
UGACCUAUCAUGGAUGAGCAGGAUAAUGUAGCUGACCUAUCAUGGAGGAGAAGGAUGAUGAUGUAGCUGACCUAUCAUGGAGGAGCAGGAUGAUGAUGUAACUGACCUAUCAUGGAGGAGCAGGGGUGAUGAUGUAGCUGACCUAUCAUGGAGGAGCAGGAUGAUGAUGUAGCUGACCUAUCAUGAAGGAGCAGGAUGUGGAUGUAGCUGACCUAUCAUGGAGGAGCAGGGGUGAUGAUGUAGCUGACCUGUCAUGGAGGAGCAGGCUGAUGUAGCUGACCUAUCAUGGAGUAGCAGGGGUGAUGAUGUAGCUGACCUAUCAUGGAGGAGCAGGGGUGAUGAUGUAACUGACCUAUCAUUGAGGAGCAGGGGUGAUGAUGUAGCUGACCUAUCAUGGAGGAGCAGGCUGUUGAUGUAGCUGACCUAUCAUGGAGGAGCAGGGGUGAUGAUGUAACUGACCUAUCAUGGAGGAGCAGGGUGAUGAUGUAGCUGACCUAUCAUGGAGGAGCAGGAUGGUGAUGUAGCUGACAUAUCAUGGAGGAGCAGGAUGAUGAUGUAGCUGACCUAUCAUGGAGGAGCAGGAUGAUGUAGCUGACCUAUCAUGGAGGAGCAGGAUGAUGAUGUAGCUGACCUAUUAUGGAGGAGCAGGGUGAUGAUGUAGCUGACCUAUCAUGGAGGAGCAGGGUGAUGAUGUAGCUGACCUAUCAUGGAGGAGCAUGAUGGUGAUGUAGCUGACCUAUCAUGGAGGAGCAGGAUUAUGAUGUAGCUGACAUAUCAUGGAGGAGAAGGAUGAUGAUGUAGCUGACCAAUCAUGGAGGAGCAGGCUGAUGAUGUAACUGACCUAUCAUGGAGGAGCAGGAUGAUGAUGUAACUGACCUAUCAUGGAGGAGCAGGGGUGAUGAUGUAGCUGACCUAUCAUGGAG